GUCAGGAUGGAGUAUGAUUCUCACGGGGGGAGAAGCAGGAGCCACAGGAGAUACGAGGAGGAUGAUGAGCCCCAGCCGGUGUACAUCGGAGUCCCUGUGUCUCAUGGCAACAGACGGAAGCGCCGCAGACAUCGCUCCCACACCAGCGAGGCCGACCGUGAGAGGAGACACACACACCACGACGAGCAUGGCCACGCGCCGUACGACCCUCGACAUGACCGAGACGACCGCUACGAGGAGGAGGAGCAGGAGCAGCUGAACAUCGACUCCACAGUGUCCCCGGCGGCAGAGAGGCUGCGCUACAUCCUGGCAGAUGAUGACGAUGUUCAGACGCCCACCAUCUUCACUGAGAUGGACACGCUCCAACACGAGGGAGGGGAGUUGGAGUGGAAAGAGUCCGCCAGGUGGGUGAAGUUUGAGGAGAAGGUGGAGGAGGGAGGGGAGAGAUGGAGCAAGCCUCACGUCUCCACCCUGACCUUACACAGUCUGUUUGAGCUGAGAACAUGUCUGCAGACUGGUAGUGUUCUGUUGGAUCUGGAAGGGUACUCCCUUCCACAGAUUGUCGAUGACAUCGUGGAUCACCAGAUAGCAGACGGGUUGAUUGGUGAAGAGUUGAGAGAGAAGAUCACCUUCGUGUUGCUGAGGAAACAUCGGCACCAGACCAAGAAGCCCAUGCACCGCUCCCUGGCAGACAUGGGCAAGUCGUCCAACUCCCCGGCCCCUGCCAGCCGUAGUCCUCAGGUGAACUUGAGCCGCUCUCCCAGCUCUGCGUCUGGGAUGAACCGCUCCAUCGAGGACCUGCGCUCACGCCAGUCAGGCAGCUACGGCCGCCUGCACCACGCUCAGAGCAGAAGCAUGAACGACAUUUCAGACACACCCAGCAACGACCAGCUCAAGAACAAGUUCAUGAAGAAGAUCCCACGCGAUGCCGAGGCCUCAAACGUCCUCAUCGGAGAGGUGGACUUCCUGGACAAACCCUUUGUGUCUUUUGUGCGUUUGGCUCAAGCCACGACUCUGGGAGGCCUGACUGAGGUCCCCGUUCCAACCAGGUUUCUGUUCGUCCUGCUGGGUCCUCACGGCAAAGCCAAGGCCUACAAUGAGAUCGGCAGAGCUAUUGCUACGCUCAUGGUGGACGAUCUGUUCAGUGAUGUGGCGUAUAAAGCGAGAGACCGUGAUGAUCUGAUCGCCGGUAUCGACGAGUUCCUGGACGAAGUGAUCGUCCUUCCUCCGGGGGAAUGGGACCCCAAGAUCCGCAUCGAGCCCCCCAAGAAAGUUCCCUCGGCUGACAUGAGGAAGUCUGUGUUAAACCUGAACGAGCUGGGUAAGGUGAACGGCGCGGCCGGGGGUGCAGGGGGUGGGGAGGACGAGGAGAUGCCCGCCCCCCACGAACUGGGAGAGGAGCUGGCCUUCACCGGAAGGUUCUGUGGAGGCCUGUGGCUGGACAUCAAGAGGAAAGGGCCGUGGAUCCCUAGCGAUUUCUACGAGGGCUUCCACAUCCAGUCCAUCUCAGCCGUGCUAUUUAUCUACUUGGGCUGCAUCACUAACGCCAUCACCUUUGGAGGGUUGCUAGGAGACGCAACUGACAACUACCAGGGGGUGAUGGAGAGUUUCCUGGGCACAGCUCUGGCGGGGACUGUCUUCUGCCUGUUCGGAGGCCAGCCCCUCAUCAUCCUCAGCUCCACCGGGCCCAUCCUUAUCUUCGAGAAGUUGCUCUAUGAGUUUAGCAAGUCUAACAGCAUAGACUACAUGGAGCUGCGUUUGUGGAUCGGGCUGCACUCCUGCCUCCAGUGUCUGAUCCUGGUUGCCACGGACGCCAGCUACAUCAUCAAGUACAUCACCCGCUUCACGGAGGAAGGCUUCUCCAGCCUCAUCUCCUUCAUCUUCAUCUCCGACGCCAUUAAGAAGAUGGCGGGAUCUUUCAAGUACUACCCAAUCAACCGUGGCUUCAAGCCGGACUAUGUCACGUCCUACAGGUGUGAAUGCAUCGCUCCGGACCAGGCCCUACUAGCAGAUGACAACAUGACUCUGUUGUAUAACCUCACAGGGCUGGACUGGAGUCAGCUAAGCAAGAAGGAGUGUGUGAAGUAUGGAGGCGCCCUGGUGGGGAACUCCUGUAAGUACGUCCCAGACCUGGCCCUCAUGUCCUUCAUCCUGUUCUUCGGCACAUACUCCAUGACCGUCUCCCUCAAGAAGUUCAAGUUCAGCCGCUACUUUCCCACCAAGCUAAGAAAGCUGAUCAGUGAUUUCUCUAUCUUCAUGUCAAUCAUGACCUUUGUGGGUCUGGAUAUGUUGAUUGGGCUCAAAACUCCCAAACUCAUUGUUCCAACAGAGUUCAAGCCCACGCGCCCAGACCGCGGCUGGCUCGUGAUGCCGUUCGGUAAGAACCCGUGGUGGGUCUACGUGGCGAGUUCUGUCCCGGCUCUGCUCGUCACCAUCCUCAUCUUCAUGGACCAGCAGAUCAGCGCCGUCAUCGUCAACCGCAAAGAAAACAAACUCAAGAAGGGCUGUGGGUACCACCUGGACCUGUUCUGGGUGGGCGUCCUGAUGGCCGCUUGCUCCUUCAUGGGCCUGCCAUGGUACGUGGCCGCCACCGUCAUCUCCAUCGCCCACAUCGACUCUCUGAAGAUGGAGAGCGAGUCCAGCGCCCCUGGGGAGCAGCCCCAGUUCCUGGGGGUCCGGGAGCAGAGACUGACAGGCAUUCUAGUGUUCGUCCUGACUGGAGUGUCCAUCUUCCUGGCUCCGGUUCUACAGUACAUCCCCAUGCCUGUUCUCUAUGGAGUGUUCCUUUACAUGGGCGUGGCUUCCCUCAGUGGCAUCCAGUUCUGGGAGCGUAUCAAGCUGUAUCUGAUGCCAGCCAAGCACCAGCCAGACUUCUCCUUCCUGCGCCAUGUUCCUCUCAGACGAGUCCACCUCUUCACCCUGGUCCAGGUCAUCUGUCUGGCCGUCCUCUGGAUCCUCAAGUCCACCGUGGCCGCUAUCAUCUUUCCCAUCAUGAUCCUGGGCCUCAUGGUGGUGAGGAAGAUGCUGGACUUCAUGUUCUCCCAGCACGACCUAGCCUGGCUGGACGACAUCCUGCCGGAGAAAGACAAGAAGAAGGAUGGCGAGAAGAAAAACAAGAAGAGCAAAAAUAAAGACAAGAAAGGAGCAGACCCAGAGAGCGACGAGGAGCCCAAGAGUCCCCCCCCUCCUCCAGUGAAGAUUCCCAUGGAGGCCUUGAACCCGCCUACGGACACGACUCCACCCUCUGUAACUCCUCCCACCCCAACCCCAGCCUCUGACUGACAAGAACCCUUACUCCAGCGUUCCUGACGAUGCAGAGCUGGACCGCAGGUACUGUGUGCUCAAACUGCACGUACCCUACAGCGACCUGAUGACCCCCCCUGACACACACACCGACUGGGGCGCACACUGCCAGCUGGACAAAUUCUACAACUACUGACCUUAACCUCGCAUCUUCACACUCAGAUACACAAACGCACAUGCACUCCUGUACAGAAUCACCACCCCCAGAUUAAGGCCCAGGCCUCUUGGUGUGUCUCAAUGUUUUAUCACGGUAGUUUCGUUCAUAGAUCGCUCCGUAGCUUCCAGGUAUUACCCUCAUCGGCUAACCAGUAGGAUCUCUUGGCAUUGUUUUUAGCAUGCGUUUAAUGUCUAGAUCUGAAAAUGCCACGUAGAACUAGUGAGAUCGCUGGCUAUUCACGGUAUCAUGGAAAUGUAGUUGUUUUAUGAAGUAUCGCCUUUAGUCAAUCACUUUGUACAUAUGUCUUGUUCUUAACCAUCGUCUAUCUGUCAUGACACAUGACAUUAACAUACUGCCCAGCAAAGGACCUUCCACCCGGUCAUACAAUUAUGUAAAUACCAGAAACACCAGAAAGAUGUACAUAUUUAUUCUUUAACAUAGAGUGUAAGGCCCUCCUAACAACCUUAAAUUAUAGAUUAUAAACAUAAAUCAACAAGGACUGAAGAGAGAUUUUCUGCCAACGUGAUUGGAUGGAUUUCCCAGGUAUACCUCGGCAGUGAGUCCAGCCAUUGGUGCUCUAUCACUUCCCCUCCGCAUGCAGCGGAAAGCAAAGCCACUCAAACCAAGUUUUUGUUUGUUUGACAAUUGUCAAUUUAUGUUGUACUUAUUAACCCGAAUGUAGUGGUGGAGAGAGACUAGCUCAACUACUGAUGCAGAUCUAUGGAUUUAGUUAUUCCUUAACUAAACGUGGGUGAAUUCUAUCGUAUACAUCGUUCAUAUACAUUUAUGACUUCUGAUGAGGCCUGGCCUCUAUAUCUUGUUGUGUGUUAAGUGUUGUUAAGCGUGAAGUCUAUCAUCCCACAGAGAGCAGUGGUCACGAGAACGGCAGGGGUGGAACGCUUUUGAAUGCAUUACGUAUAUUGCUCAGUAUACAUGUCAUGUAUACUGAGGAUAUUAUGAUGGUUUAUCUGGAGAAAAGCCAGUAGGGUCUUUUGUAACUCCCACUGCCUCUCUCUGUUCCUGUCACUGGUGUCUGUGGGUGGGUGACGUCAGGUCACGGUGUUCACUGAAGUCUGUCCGUGAAAACGAAACACUAGACGUUUCUCAGCUCUGUCCGCCAGUCAGAUGACGGAGAGUCAGAUGACAGUUUAACAUGAAAAUGUAGUGAUUUUGGUUGUUUCUUUUUCAAGGGGCCAAAGCGUUUUUGUGCGUGUACAUGUUGCGUUACAUUCUAACGCUUUCGUUUGAAACUUCGUCUCGUUGUAUAGUGUCACAGCCCCCCUUUCCAUCCACAGUCUCCGCCUGUUCCUGCGUCCUCUACCCUAGCGCUCCAGUAUCCCACCCUCCACUCAGUGGAAGAUGUGUGCACGUGUGUGUGCUUCUUCACACAUCAAUAGUUUGCAUGUGCAUGUAUUUGUGCAAACUUGUUUUUCCUUUUAUGUUGCGAGGUGGUGUCCUGUUUAGCGCAAACAAUUUGUACAUGCUCUUGCAUUGCUGUUCAAGGAGGAUGAUUAGAACGUUUGAUGAAGUAAUUUUUGUGGCAAAAUAAGAACUUGAAUUCAACAAUACAGUCUUAAUUUUGACAUAACUACAUUUUAUAAAUAAUAGAUGUUGAUGUAUUUCUUUGAAAACAAUUGUUUCUAGUAAUGCAGUAAAAUAAAUAAUAUGAGAUAAUAGUGCUAAUUUAGUAAAUAAUUCGUAUAAAAAAAAGAAUUACAAAUAGAAGAAUUAUAGCAUUUAUAUUUGUUAAUAAAAACGAUUUUUACUAAUAAUGAGAUCUAUUUUUGUUUUUCACAACACAAGCAAUGAAGUAAUUCACCUCAUGAUCACAUGUCCUAAUUCCUGUAUCUUUCCCUUUCUGUCUUUCACUAAACUUUUCCAUUCAACCUGUCUUUCCUUUUGUACGUUCUUACCUGCUCUCCUGCUGUGUCCUGUUUCCUUGCAGUCCACUGUGUCUGAACUUGGUUGUGCUUUUUGUCCGUGCGAGUAUCCGUGUGUGUGUGUGUGUGCGCACGUGCAUGUGUGCAUGCAUGCUCAGUAAAGAGACGCAGGUGUAACCUGGGCUGUUCCAACACUGUUCCUCAGAAUCACUCUGCACCUGAAGAUAUCCUGCCCCCCCUCACCUGCUCACUCCCAGGUGAGCGUUUCCCCCGGAGAUACUCGACCCUCACAGCACUUGCCACCACGCCCACCUGUGCCCCAGGUCAACAUCCAGAUGGAUUCAGACAACGAGUCUGACCUUUACCCCUGGGGUCAAACCCUCUCCCCCAGGAUUAGCUAUUACCCUAGUGACCAGUACCAAAGGUCAAAUGCUCAUAGCGACACAUACCGCAGAUCUCAUUCUCAGCUGCAGGAACUGGGAAGUGAAACUGUAUUGUAGCCUAAAUGGACAGGGAAAUCCCAUCGUCGAACCCUAUGUUUAGAUACAUUUACCUGUGUUCAAAUCGAUGACCCGUGCGUACAGUGGCAGGUAUACUGAAAAAUGAUUAUGAAGUCCACAAUGACAUCACCUGAUUCUGAUUCACCAGCAUGUGCAGUGAGACAAACUCAACAGCUUAACAAGGUCUGAACAUAUAACAAGUUUGUCUAUAAAAUCAGGUCUCAACCAUAUUUAUGUAAGACAAUUGCCAUUUAAUAUACCUUUAAUGUACCUUUAGAUUCCGUGAAAGGACAGAUACACUUCAUACUUUGUUUAGAUCUGGUUUGUAAAAAGAACGAUGAAAGAAAGAGAAACAACCAAAAAUUUAGCUUUUAAUUCUACAUACAUUUCUUAACACUACGUAGCUUAAUACAAAAUGUUUCCUGCAUUGUAAUAUUAAAUAUAACAUUUAUUGUUGUUUAUUGCAUUUAGUGGAAAGUUAAGUAGGUAUUUUGUUGUAUACACUCUAAGCCUUUGUGAAUGUGUGUGCUUUGACUGCUCAAUGUGCGAUGUUGAUUGAGAGUAAAUACUUCUGAUUGUAAAGAAACGCAAAUCCUUGUAAAGUAAUAAAAUAGCAUUGAAAAAAGGUUGCCUGUGUGGAUGUGUGAAGCUCAUGUUUGUGACUGGUUUGUGUCUCAAUACAACCUCAACCCAUAAGUACAAACUUUUUUUCUGCAUCAUGAACAUCCGUGGUU